rnacentral:lncRNA from 1 species
UGUUCCAAAUUUUUUUAAAAAAACUAAAGACACGGAUAAGACCCCCCCAGUCUGCAUACUGCCGAGUUCUUACGGAAAAUUUUCCUGAGAUUUGAUUUUAGGGUUUCAGUUGUUUCUGCUUCUUGGGCUCUAAAUUGUCCAUUCAGGUAAGGUUUUCGCUUCUCUCUGUGCAAGUAUGUUUUGAAUUUAGUCUUUAUUUUGCUCUGUUUGGCAGGUUGGAUAAUGUAGGAGAACAUGCGGAAAACAUGGUUCCGAAAGUCUUUAGUUUAGUAUCUUGAGGCCUUUCAAGAAAACAAAUUAUGCCUGUGAAACUUGCUUCUUGUACUUUUCUUGCUUUGUUUACUGUCUGUCUCUCCAAGUGAACAAGAGCUUUAGGAAUUGGUUUUCCCCCAAGACUUUUUCUCCCAUUUCUUGGCAACCAAACGGAGGAUUUUCUGGUUUUUUUUUUUUUUUUUUUUUCCUUCAAUACUUUUCUUUUCUUGUUUCUGUUUUUAUGUAGUGAAUAAUGUAUUUGAAAAUUCAUUUAAACCUUUUGAAUCUUUGAAGGUUCAUGUUAUGGUAAAACCCUAAUUUCGUGGUCAAAAGCUUGAGAAAUUAGGAUUUCUUGUCAGUUGUGGAUAUGAGUUUUGAGGAGGCAACAUGCAAUGGAGAUGGUAUGGAAUGCAUUCAGGGGGUACAGUUCUUGAAAAGUAAAGCAGUGGCUAGUGCAUGUGAAGUCACUGUUAUACGUAAUUCUGGGAAUGGGAGCACUAGCACAAGAGAAGGUUUUCUAACCUACAAGAGGAGGAGGUAUGCUGGGCAGAGUUUGGGGAGCAAAGUGCUAGGAUGUGGCAGAAAUUCUGUUGAAGCAGCUAGUCAAUUGGCAGGCCAGGUAUACAAAGAUGUUCUUUGCUACGUGUUUAUCAGAUUAUUUCUUGUUGGAUUUUACCGGUCAUAAAGUUAUUUGUUCACAUUUUCUUCGUAUUUCAAAAAAUUAUUUGUGAUUUUGAGCUUUUGAAGUACAAGGAUCUCUAAAAUGGUAUUGUGCAAGUUCGAACAUAAACUCAGCUUUUGUUGAACUAUAAACACAAUAGACAAGCGUCCAGAAGAUUUUGGAAUUUCUUUGGUUUUUUGAAUUAACAAAAUAAAGCUGCAUCCACGGAGAUUUUUAUUAGUAUGAGGCUCCUGUCCAAGGAUAUCUUAGAAAUGACUGAUUUGGUGUGGCUUUGGCAGUAGGAUGAACAUGAAAGGCAUCUAUCUUCAUGUGAAGUGAGGAUGGCCAUUCACAUAAUAGAGAUCUUUGCUACAAAUAAAAUUUAUUUAUUUAAUAAACUCUGUGUAGUGGUUUGUGAUUUCAAUUGAAGUUCUAAGACAGUAGUUAGGGCUUGAGUGCCCCAAUAGCAUUCACUGUUCUCACAAUGAAUUGCAUUCCUGUCUGGUAUAUAGAGAGAAAAUGUCACUCUAGAGCUCUUCUUGUUCAAUUUAAGACACGUAUGGACUUUAGGGAACUAAGGAAUCUUUUACUUUCUGUGCCAUGUUAAUGAUCCAGAACUUUAUUUCAUGGCUUUUAAUUUGCUGUAUAAGUGUUCUCUUUCAUAUGAUGCCUUAAAUGGAAAGGAAGAUGACAUAUAAUUUUGGGCGCUUUUUAGAGUUAUUAUGCUUGUUACAUAUUGAAAAAUGUGUUGCUUUCAGGUCAACUGAAAAAUCAUCUCCUUUUCUACAUUGUUUUCAUUUCAUUUGCUGGAUAACAUUCUUCCUCUUCUUCUGCAGGAUAAGAAAAUAAGAACAGCUUAUGCAUGUGAACAAUAGAUUCUUGGUGCUUGAAAUUCAUAUAUGUUUUGGAGUAAAAAGUGUGCUUGGUGCUUGAAAUUCUUGAGUUCCUAAAAUUGUAUGUACGGCGCUUGUAGGUCGGAAUGCAUAUGCGGUUUUCAUGUUUGUUAGGAUACGAUGUAUAUAACAUACGAAGAUGACUUUCUCCCCAGUGAGAGUUGUUUGGUGGGUAAGAAAUAACUCAUUCACUGUUAGGGGGAGUCAGCACCAAUAGGGGACAAAUUAACAGAAGAGUAUCUUAGAUAAUUUGGCAUGUCCAAUAUGGGACCACAGAUGUACAAAUGUGGAAGUUAGUUUUAGAAGAUUUAAUCUGAAGACGUAUCUUCAAUAAUCUCACUGAAAAGACGAUUCUUGCGUGGUUGUCUGGAUGAAGAGUAUUGUUUAGCUUUUUCCUGACUAGUCCAUAAUCAAGCAACAGUUGGGUUGAUGAUUUGUAGAUAUCUGAUACUUAAUCUUGAUAUGCAUCAUAUAAAUGAGCUUGCAAAAUCUUGAUGCAGAAAUUAACCUUAAUGGUUCAAUGUGCUCUUUCUUUAUCAGAAACUGAACAAAUAUAUCAUUCAAAGGGAUUGCAGUUGUGACAAAUAAAAAAAUAUGAUAUACAAUAUGCUGAAAGACAAAAAUGUCAAUUACAUCUUUUAAAUCCUCCCUACUCAUGAGAUGAUGUCCUUGGAAAGAAUAAACAGGUUCUGCAAUCAUAGAUGCAUGAUCCUACAAAAAGGGGAAGGAAGAGCAUCACGAAGCCCUUCCUAUCUGCUGAAUGACCAAAAGGAUUGCCAAAGAUUAGAGAGAAAAACCAUUUGCAUUUGAUCCACGAAUCCAUUCCGAGCCCAAAGCUCUUUCGUAACUGAAGCCCAACCACCCAACUAAUAUUGAGAAAGCCUAAAUUAUCCUGGGCAGUUGAUUUUUUUUUUCUUUUUUCUGGUGGGGGAGGGAUGGGAAGGGGGGAAAUCCCUGUUGCAAAGGAAGUAGCCAUUGACUUAAAUAGUUCUUGACUGCUGGAUUCUUUUAGGGGGAAACCGGAUGUGAGAAGACUUGAUACUUAAAACCUUUGUUGUGUGCUUAUAUCUCUUUCUGAUUCUUGAUAAUUAAUGAUACUUUUUACUUCUUGUUGCAAAAACAUCAUAGACUGCAUAAAUNNN